AGCAGCCGCGGUAAUUCCAGCUCCAAUAGCGUAUAUUAAAGUUGUUGCAGUUAAAAAGCUCGUAGUUGAAUUUCGAGAUCAAUUUUCUUGGUCAUACCUUUGUAUGUACUGGUCUUAUUGAUUUCUCCCUUCUGAUGAACCAUGAUGUCAUUAAUUUGGUGUUAUGGGGAAUCAGGACUAUUACUUUGAAAAAUUAGAGUGUUUAAAGCAGGCUCACGCUUGAAUACAUUAGCAUGGAAUAAUGAAAUAGGACGUUUGAUUCUAUUUUGUUGGUUUCUAGGAUUGACGUAAUGAUUAAUAGGGAUAGUUGGGGGCAUUAGUAUUCAAUUGUCAGAGGUGAAAUUCUUGGAUUUAUUGAAGACUAACUACUGCGAAAGCAUUUGCCAAAGAUGUUUUCAUUUAAUCAAGAACGAAAGUUAGGGGAUCGAAGACGAUCAGAUACCGUCGUAG
rnacentral:rRNA from 1 species